AGACACUGCCUCGUGACAAUCGAUUGUUAUAUACUCACAAUCGAUUAUUUAAUAACUUUGAAAAAGUCUGGAAGACACUGCCUCAACACAAUCGAUUGGUGAUAUGUUCACAAUUGAUUAUUUUGUGACUUUGAAAAAUCUGAUGGACACUGUCUCGUCACAAUCGAUUGUUAUUAACUUCACAAUCGAUUAUUUUGAGCGUUGAAAAAC
rnacentral:lncRNA from 1 species